rnacentral:rRNA from 1 species
GACGAACGCUGGCGGCGUGGAUUAGGCAUGCAAGUCGAACGGUGUCAUCCUUUCGGGGGUGAGAGAGUGGCGAACUGGUGAGUAACACGUAGGUUAUCUACCCUCAAGACGGGGACAACCCAGGGAAACUUGGGCUAAUACCGGAUGUGAGCAACUUUUAGUUGUUUGAAAGGUGGCGUAAGCUGUCGCUUGGGGAUGAGCCUGCGUCCUAUUAGUUAGUUGGUGAGGUAACGGCUCACCUAGGCAAUGAUAGGUAGGCGGCCUUAACGGGUGGUCGCCCACACUGGGAUUGAGAUACGGCCCAGACUCCUACGGGAGGCAGCAGUCGAGAAUAGUCUACAAUGGUCGGAAGACUGAUAGUGCGACGCCGCGUGAACGAUGAAUCCCUUCGGGGUGUAAAGUUCUUUUAUAUGUGAGCAGUGCUUCUUAUAUUAACAGUAUGGGGAGAGAGAUAUUAGCAUAUGAAUAAGCAACGGCUAACUCCCGUGCCAGCAGCCGCGGU